CCUACGGGAGGCAGCAGUGGGGAAUAUUGCACAAUGGGGGAAACCCUGAUGCAGCGACGCCGCGUGAAGGAAGAAGUAUUUCGGUAUGUAAACUUCUAUCAGCAGGGAAGAAAGUGACGGUACCUGACUAAGAAGCCCCGGCUAACUACGUGCCAGCAGCCGCGGGAAUACGUAGGGGGCACGCGGUCUCCGGAAUUACUGGGUGGAAAGGGAGCGUAGGCGGCGAUGCAAGUAAGAAGUGAAAGCCCGGGGCUCAACUCCGGGACUGCUUUUGAAACUGUAUGGCUAGAUUGCAGGAGAGGCAAGUGGAAUUCCUGGUGUAGCGGUGAAACGCGUAGAUAUUAGGAGGAACACCAGUGGCGAAGGCGGCUUGCUGGACUGUAAAUGACGCUGAGGCUCGAAAGCGUGGGGAGCAAACAGGAUUAGAUACCCGGGUAGUC
rnacentral:rRNA from 1 species